CCCCGCCUACAGCUGCCAGUCCUCGCCCGGGCACUACAGCUCCCAGCAUGCACCUGGGCUGGCACAAGGGGAGGAGGCGGAGCUGACGGAGCUGGACUCGCUGUACCAGGCCAGUCUGCAGGCCGGGAGGACAGUGUACAGUCCGUCGGAGAGGCUGAUUUCUCGCGUGGGGGGCCGACCCGUUCGAAGACCCCGAAUGCGGACAUGGAGAGGUGCAUGUACGGGGCGGACUGCACGGGCACCCCCACCUACCUCAACAAGCCAACGGGGUUUCUGGACCGGGCCUCGGGGGCGGGGCCUGGGGACAGCGACAGCCCGAGGAGGAUCGGACGCAGCCUCAGCGGGACAGUGGUGAACUCGCGCCGCCACCGACUCACCGCAACGCGCAGCUUUGAGCUGUCUGGCGGGACGGGGAGUUUCUGGCUGUGUCUGACUGGGGUCAAAGUGUCCUCCGACCAGAGUCCCGCCCUGUUCCACUGAUGUCCCGCUGAGCCCCGCCUCCUCCUCCUCCUCCUCCUCCUCCUCCUCUGCCUCCUGGUGCUGCGGCUGGGACUGGUCCUCUCAGCUACAACAACAGCAACAACAUGGUACUAUUCCACGACGGGACGUCCCAAACCAGCUCCACAGGAUCUCAGCCACUGUCCCAAAGACAAAGUGUUGCAACUACUACUUUCGCUAUCAUUUCUUUCAGACUUUGUUUGCGCCCUUACACCUGUCCAGCCUACCUUCAUGUUUUAUUACUGCCUUUUGCAUAUUGUUCUUGCAAUCUAUCUAUUUUCCUAUCCUUGUAUUCCAUCUAUCCAUGUUGCCCUUUGUAUACUUCACCUAUUACAGCUCAUCAUUUUCAUUAAUUCAGACUAUUAAUGUUAUUCUUGUUUUUUGUGUACCCACUAUAUUUACACUCUUCAUCCCUAUCCUUUUCCUAUCUAUCAUAGCAUCCCUACAAAUUAUCUAAAUACUUGUGCCUCUUUUAAAAUCUAAUCCUUUUAGUCACAGAAUUCUUUCCUCUCAUUUCCCAUAGACGUAAUUAACCUAAUUUGUAGUGGCCUACUGAGUGCUCUCUCCUUGAUACCUUAAAGGCGCUGCGCUCAACCUUUCACGGUUACAAAUUGAUUUCUAUUCGCAGUUAGGGCUGGGUACUGUUACUUUUUUUAAAUAUAUAUAUAUACAUAUACCGG
rnacentral:lncRNA from 1 species